GAGGAGUGAUGGCUUCAGCAAGGUUUAGGGCCCCGUAUUUAGAGGUUGGCGACAGGGGUGCCGCAUCAGGGUUAACUCCAGCACUGAUUACGGCGGCCAAAGGGGAUCUGCACACAUUUACGGGGCUCGGAUAGCUACAUCAGUCUGCGGUGGUCCCGUUUUACCAGUGAACCUGAGCUAUUACGUGCGGAGAGCACGACUCGAUGGAGCCGCAUGUUACGAGUGCAGCGGCUGCAGAGAGCAUGCUCUACGUUGCCUAGAGCAUGUCGACAAGCAGCAGCAUGCGCAUGAGUGGGGGACGGU
rnacentral:lncRNA from 1 species